rnacentral:rRNA from 1 species
GAUGCUGACGAGUGGCGCACGGGUGCGUAACGCGUAUGNCAUCUGCCUCUAUCUGGAAGAUAGCCCGGAGAAAUCCGGAUUAAUAUUCCAUAAUAUCAUUGAUUCGCAUGGUUCGAUGAUUAAAGCUUCGGCGGAUAGAGAUGAGCAUGCGUGCUAUUAGUUUGUUGGUGAGGUAACGGCUCACCAAGACUUCGAUAGGUAGGGGGCCUGAGAGGGUGAUCCCCCACACUGGUACUGAGACACGGACCAGACUCCUACGGGAGGCAGCAGUGAUGAAUAUUGGACAAUGGGCGAAAGCCUGAUCCAGCCAUGCCGCGUGCAGGAUGACAGCCCUACGGGUCGUAAAACUGCUUUUAUACAGGAAUAAACCCCCUUACGUGUAAGGGGCUGAAUGUACUGUAAGAAUAAGGAUCGGCUAACUCCGUGCCAGCAGCCGCGGUAAUACGGAGGAUCCAAGCGUUAUCCGGAUUCAUUGGGUUUAAAGGGUCCGCAGGCGGAGCAUUACGUCAGUGGUGAAAGGCCGUAGCUUAACUAUGGCACUGCCAUUGAUACUGGUGCUCUUGAGUAUAGUUGAGGUGGGCGGAAUAAGUCAUGUAGCGGUGAAAUGCAUAGAUAUGACUUAGAACACCGAUUGCGAAUGCAGCUCACUAAACUAAUACUGACGCUCCGGGACGAACGCGUGGGGAGCGA